GCCUGUGUAGCGUAGUGGCAGCGCGUCGCUCUUGUAAAGCGAAGGUCGUCCGUUCAAUCCGGGCCUCAGGCA